GGGCCGUUAGCUCAAUGGGUGAGAGCGCAUGGCUUAUAACCGUGAGGUUGCGGGUUCGAGUCCCGCACGGCCUACCA
rnacentral:tRNA from 1 species